rnacentral:rRNA from 1 species
CCUACGGGGGGCAGCAGUGAGGAAUAUUGGUCAAUGGACGAGAGUCUGAACCAGCCAAGUAGCGUGAAGGAUGACUGCCCUAUGGGUUGUAAACUUCUUUUAUAUGGGAAUAAAAUGCUCCACGUGUGGGAUUUUGUAUGUACCAUAUGAAUAAGGAUCGGCUAACUCCGUGCCAGCAGCCGCGGUAAUACGGAGGAUCCGAGCGUUAUCCGGAUUUAUUGGGUUUAAAGGGAGCGUAGGUGGAUUGUUAAGUCAGUUGUGAAAGUUUGCGGCUCAACCGUAAAAUUGCAGUUGAAACUGGCAGUCUUGAGUACAGUAGAGGUGGGCGGAAUUCGUGGUGUAGCGGUGAAAUGCUUAGAUAUCACGAAGAACUCCGAUUGCGAAGGCAGUUCACUGGACUGCAACUGACACUGAGGCUCGAAAGUGUGGGUAUCAAACAGGAUUAGAUACCCGAGUAGUC